GGAGAGAUGGCUGAGUGGUUUAAGGCGCACGCCUGGAAAGCGUGAGUGGCUAAACACCACCGUGGGUUCGAAUCCCUCUCUCUCCGCCA
rnacentral:tRNA from 1 species